rnacentral:rRNA from 1 species
CCUACGGGAGGCAGCAGUGGGGAAUCUUGCGCAAUGGGCGAAAGCCUGACGCAGCCAUGCCGCGUGAAUGAUGAAGGUCUUAGGAUUGUAAAAUUCUUUCAGUAGGGACGAUAAUGACGGUACCUACAGAAGAAGCCCCGGCUAACUUCGUGCCAGCAGCCGCGGUAAUACGAAGGGGGCUAGCGUUGCUCGGAAUUACUGGGCGUAAAGGGAGCGUAGGCGGGUUAUCAAGUUGGAGGUGAAAGCCCAGGGCUCAACCUUGGAAUAGCCUUCAAAACUGAUAACCUAGAGGAUGGAAGAGGUAAGUGGAACUCCGAGUGUAGAGGUGAAAUUCGUAGAUAUUCGGAAGAACACCAGUGGCGAAGGCGACUUACUGGUCCAUUACUGACGCUGAGGCUCGAAAGCGUGGGGAGCAAACAGGAUUAGAUACCCUGGUAGUCCACGCUGUAAACGAUGAUUGCUAGUUGUCGGCAGGCAUGCCUGUCGGUGACGCAGCUAACGCAUUAAGCAAUCCGCCUGGGGAGUACGGUCGCAAGAUUAAAACUCAAAUGAAUUGACGG